UGGCGCCCGAACGUGGGGCUCGAGACACGGGGUCUUCACCUGGUGGACGCUGCUCGGAAGAUCAGCCGAUCGACCCCAGGACCUCCGCCUUGUUGGUGAGUUUGGCUCCGUGUACAGUCCGCUCAGACCCACCCAUCUGAGAAAGCGACCUGUGAGGUGAGUGAGCAGCGCGAACUAUGGGACAAAAAUUAAGUACACAUCAGUUGUUUGUUGAAGGUUUAAAAUCUUCCUUAAAGACGCAGUGAGUUCGGGUUAAGAAAAAGGAUUUAAUGAACUUCUUCAAAUUUGUAGAAGAGACUUAUCCUU
rfam:Fukomys damarensis contig151051, whole genome shotgun sequence.